rnacentral:rRNA from 1 species
GUUUCCUACGGGGCGCAGCAGUGAGGAAUAUUGGUCAAUGGGAGAGAUCCUGAACCAGCCAAGCCGCGUGAGGGAAGACGGCCCUAUGGGUUGUAAACCUCUUUUGUCGGAGAACAAAACCCGGGACGUGUCCCGGACUGCGUGUAUCCGAAGAAAAAGCAUCGGCUAACUCCGUGCCAGCAGCCGCGGUAAUACGGAGGAUGCGAGCGUUAUCCGGAUUUACUGGGUGUAAAGGGAGCGUAGACGGCAGCGCAAGUCUGGAGUGAAAUCCCAUGGCUUAACCAUGGAACUGCUUUGGAA